UUGACGGGGGCCCGCACAAGCGGCGGAGCAUGCGGAUUAAUUCGAUGCAACGCGAAGAACCUUACCUGGGUUUGACAUGGAUUGGUAACGGUCAGAGAUGGCCGCCCCCCUUGUGGGCCGAUUCACAGGUGGUGCAUGGCUGUCGUCAGCUCGUGUCGUGAGAUGUUGGGUUAAGUCCCGCAACGAGCGCAACCCUCGUCCACUGUUGCCAGCAAUUCGGUUGGGGACUCAGUGGAGACCGCCGGGGUCAACUCGGAGGAAGGUGGGGAUGACGUCAAGUCAUCAUGCCCCUUAUGUCCAGGGCUUCACGCAUGCUACAAUGGCUGGUACAAAGAGUUGCGACACUGUGAGGUGGAGCGAAUCUCAAAAAGCCAGUCUCAGUUCGGAUUGGGGUCUGCAACUCGACCCCAUGAAGUCGGAGUCGCUAGUAAUCGCAGAUCAGCAACGCUGCGGUGAAUACG
rnacentral:rRNA from 1 species